rnacentral:rRNA from 1 species
GUCUUUUUGAGUUUAUAAAAAGUCUGGUCUGCCCGAUGUAAUAUGAAUGGCCGCGGUAUUUUGACCGUGCUAAGGUAGCAUAAUGAAUAGUCUAUUAAUUGUGGUCUGGAAUGAAGGAUUUGACGAGGUAUUGCUUUCUUAAAUUUAUAGUUGAAUUUUAAUUAUUAGUUAAAAUGCUAAUGUGUCUAAGAAGGACGAGAAGACCCUAUAGAGCUUUACAUAAGAUUUUAAAUUAGUGGAAUCAAUUAAAUAAUAUGUUUUGUUGGGGCGACAUUAAAUAUAAAACAUUUAGAAUAUAGACUUUAUGAAAGGUGUAAAGAUCCAAUAAUAUUGAUGAAAGUCUAAGUUACCUUAGGGAUAACAGCGUAAUUUCACUUAAGAGUUCUUAUCGACAGUGAAGAUUGCGAC